rnacentral:rRNA from 1 species
UACGGAGGGUGCAAGCGUUAAUCGGAAUUACUGGGCGUAAAGCGUGCGCAGGCGGUUUGUUAAGUCUGCUGUGAAAUCCCCGAGCUCAACUUGGGAAUGGCAGUGGAUACUGGGAGGCUAGAGUGUGUCAGAGGAUGGUGGAAUUCCCGGUGUAGCGGUGAAAUGCGUAGAGAUCGGGAGGAACAUCAGUGGCGAAGGCGGCCAUCUGGGACAACACUGACGCUGAGGCACGAAAGCGUGGGGAGCAAACAGG